rnacentral:rRNA from 1 species
UCGGUCUCUAUCUGAUGUGGGUGUUAGGAUACUUGAAGGGGAGUUCUCUUCAGUACGAGAGGACCUAGAGAAACGAACCUCUGGUGUUCCGGUUGUCCUGCCAAGGGCAAAGGCCGGGUAGCUAUGUUCGGAAAGGAUAAACGCUGAAAGCAUCUAAGUGUUAAGCCCCCCCCAAAAAUAGGUAUCCCUUCCUUGGCCGUAAGGCCGAGGAUGUAGGCUGGUCGUAGACUACGACCUUGAUAGGCGCAAAGUGUAAGAUCCGUAAGGAUUUCAGCUAAUGCGUACUAAUCAGCCAAUCGGCUUGGCCUA